GCACUCAUAAGGAUUCAAAUCUUUAAAAUGGAGUAUGACAGUUGUGACUCAUGGCCCAUCUAUCAUUUACCCUGAGCAGGGGACUUUGUGACUCAAUUGGGAACAUGCUGAGUGAAUCUCCUUACUUGGAGUUGCUGCACCUACGAGAGUGAGCCUCUUCCUCCUCUAAAUAGUUUCCUACACACAUCGUUCCUGUACAAAAUCAGUCAAUAUUUGGGUGUCUCAAACAAUGAAAGUAGCAGUGGUGUCCUGAGACAGUGAAUGCAGUUAAGACUGAACUCAUCUUUGCUAAUGUUCUGCCUAAUACGGCAUUUUUUGAAGUGAGUCCCCUUGAUAAAACUCCAGGAGGCACCAAAAACUACAUCUCAAAAAUACAUGAGAAGCAGCUUGCUACUUGCUCACUAGUAGGUUUGUCUAGACCACACAGCUUGUCAUUUCUCCAGAGUAUUGACACACUACAGCAAGGAAAUGAGAAUAAUGUCUCCCAAGAUAUGCUGGGAACAGAAGAGCAAGGCCUUAAAUGAGUACCUCUCCAGUAGUAGGUCAGCUGCAUGUGCUCAGUCAUAUGAGAGGUGAAAAAGAGCUCUUAUACAUAUUGACACAGGCUGGUUUUUUUUUAUUAUUAUUAUUUUUAUCAUCACAGCAAAACUGAAUGCAUUUUGGGAUAGCAGAAUUGGUGCUGGGCAGUUGCUCGCACUGAGUGUGAUGCAGUGCUAAUGAUGUUAUUCCUUUGCUCAAAUCCUGCAGGUCUUUAUUGUUUUCCCCCUUCUCCCUGAAAAAGUAAAAGCAUUUGAUCUGACCUUAAGGUCCUGCUCACUAUGGCCUUCAAAAUGGCUACCUCUUUGCUUACGGACCUAACUUCAUCACAAAUAUCUGCAGUUUUAAUGCUAUAGCAGCAGCAUUCCUGGCAUUGUUAUAGCAACUGUGCAUACUGUCUAUCUCAGAAUAUCCUGCACUAUAUCCCUGAGCAAAAUAUUUUGUACCUUAGCAAGUACACAAUAUUUUUGUUGUUUUAAAGGAUCUAUAAAAGCUCCUACUUUUUUUCUUAGGUAAAAGCCCCAUCUCACUGCACUUGCUCUGUGCUUCCUGGGUUUCUAACCAUCUGUGACAUUUGUCCAGAAAUGCUCCUGAUGCUGAUACAUCCCUUUUGUAAUGGAGCAAGGAGAACUGCAUGUACUUCUCAGUAUAGAGCAAGUAAUUGAUUUACACAGUGGCAGCAAAGAGCGUGGCCCCUCUCUCCUGGGAUAAAUGAGUGUAGCAAAAUUAUUGAUGUUCCUAAUUAAAGUUGGGCAAGGCCAAAGGAGAGGUAAGCUUGUUCAGGGGGAAGAGGGGUUGCACGGCCAAAUGCUCCUGUUUUACUGCGAGUUACUGGGGUGGAGCAGAAGUGAUGUAAGUAUCUCUGUGCUCUGAGGAGGGAAGGCCGGGAGGUUGAACAGUCCUUCCCGAUGCUUCCCCUUCCUACAGCAGCCCGGGGAAUAAUUCUGUCUGUUCAGAGCCUCUGCUUUUUCUGCUACUCUGAAGAAGCUUCCCAGCUGUUAGCUCUAGCUCUUCUAAGCACAACACAGCCCUCUGCUGUGUGCGGGUGGGAAGGCUUACAAUUUGGCUACGCUGAUUUCGCUAGCCAAUUUUUCAGGCACAGCUUAUAUUGACAUUGCCUUCCUACUCCUUUCUUACCUCAGACUGGUGUAGUGUUUGCUUAUGAUAUAAAGCUGGCAAACGUUUUGUUUGGCUUUCUUGAGGUAAUAUGUAAAAAUCAGUAAAUCUCCUAAAUUUUGCAGAUGAGAGCUCUUCAUCUACCAAGCUCCUCUACAAGGGCAAGCCCACACCUGUGUGAGCACAGAAGUGUCUGCACACCUGUGUUCACCCAGGGGGGAGGGGUGGGCCUCAGGUGUGGAGGGCAGUGCACUUCCUGCAGCACUUUGGUCAGGAACUCUAGCUCUGGCUGCCUUUCAGCACAAGCUGUCUUAUAUGUGUAGAGUAUCUUUUAUAUGGAAAGCUCUUGUUUUUUUUUUCAAGCUGCAUCAAAGUUUCUCAGGUGAAGGCAGCUGCAAAGUCUGCAGAUUUCCACGUACAAAAGUUACUUCAAAUGGCGUUUCUGUGAGAAGACAACUAGUUGCCUCAGCAAUAGAACCAAAAAAAGACUAGUGCUUCACUGCUAACAAGAAAGUGGAGAUGACUCACUGCUACUAAAGGACUCUUUGCCAUUCCUAUGAGGAUGACCAUCCAGCCCAGUUCCUCAGCAUCCUUGUGGCAGCAGUAGAUGUUUGGGGAAAACACACAAUAACAGGACACAUCUGGAGAGAUCCUUUCCCAGCAUAACCUUUUGGCAAUAUUAAAGGUGCCUACUUGAGUUAUGUGAGGAUAAAUGAGGCCACUUGCUGGAUCUUACUGAAGUUUAAAAGAGGAUUUCGGACUGGACCUGGACCAAUGCUGGGCUUUCAGACAAUUCAUUGCACACAUUCUUUGCCUCUCUGGCCAAGACAAGCCAUGGCUUCCUCUCUGCACCUCACCAACCAUGCAGCUCCUGUUUGACAGGGAAGAGAUGUGGGAGUAUGGCAAGUCUUUUAAUAUCCAGUACUUUGCAUUAUGGAUAGUGGUGUUCCAGGUUACCAGAGGGAAAGGAAUGGGAGUUUUUAGCAGAAACUCCGAGGAAAAAAAGAACAUGAACUGAUCCACUCUGUAAUCAACAUACGUAGGCCAUAACAUCAGACUGUUCAGAGCACAGCAGGACAGAUAAGAGUUCAGAUGAAGUUUCUGUACCUCAACACACAAUGGAGAGACAAGCUUAAUCAUGAGUGCUCUCCCAGUGUUUUUUCUCUUCUUUUCAUAUACCCAGAUAAAGUAGAUAUUUCCUCUCAAAAUUGCUAAGGAAUGAAUCACGUAGUGGCUCACUUAACAUAGCCCUACAGAUUUGAACAUGUGCCUGGCUUCUUCUGUCUCUGCACGUGGCAAUUACCUGGUAUCUGCUCACACUAUCUUAAAUCAAGGGAAGCCUUCGCUGAACACAUUGACUGCCAUCUUCUGCUUUGGGCACCCAGAUCCCCAAAUGUGGUGUUGCUGUGUGCUGUCCAGGCUUGAGCUCCCUUGAGGUUGCUACUGACCCUCCACUGGUCUUCAGUCAAUAAAUAGCUACUAACCCUCCGACUUGCCAAGAAAGGCAGUGAAGGAACUGUGAAGUAGGAUUGAUCUAUUUACUGACAUUAAGUAAAAACAACUAGAUGAUCUUUAGCAUCCCUUCCCACCUAAGCCAUUCUGUGAUCCUAUGAACUGAGCCUGAUUAUGGAUUUUUUUUUGUGCAGGAAAGGUGCAGAUCAUGGUCAGCAUGUCUAGUGGUCUUAUUUGGUCACACUACAGAAUCCUGAAAUGCUAACAUUUCAUUAUCAAACAGACAGUGAAAAAAAACCAAACAACAAAACCCACCACAAUUAUUUAACAGCAAUCUCUAUGGAGAGAUAAUGGAAAACAUGAAUCAAGGACAAUUAAUCCAUCGUGAGAAGGAUUUAGGAACCUGUUUUGGCCACAUUAUUAGUUGUGGGAGCACUGGCUUUUCUACCCAAUUAAUACUUUAAAAAUAUAUGAAUUAAAUCAUAAGUAAAAUCAGCACCUUAAUCGGUGACUUCCACUGGUUGUAAUAUUUUCCAUUUAUUUUACUUUUUAAGUAAUUGACAACACUUGCUCCACAAAGUCUUUCUCCAUUAAAGCCCCUUAUCUAGCAGUAAAGUCACCACAUUGUGCCUGCAGCACUCCGACUCCUUUUCACUUUUUCCAAAGGACUCUGUAAGCCACAAUAAAAAUAAUUCCGGCACUUAAGAAAGUAUUGACGGUAUCAUUUUUUCCACAACAUUUGAAAAACUUUCUUAAGGGCCUAUCUUUUCCACUCACUACGUGCAGUCUUGGGUUUUCUUUUCUGCACUCCUAUCUGAAAGGUUCACUGAGGGAAACUGCUGCUGGCUGGGAGGAAACAACAAAGCAUAUUUGAAAAGGCGUUUUUUAAUAAUACUUGAUGGUGGUGGUUUUUUUUUUGCUGAGCUGCAAGUGGUAUGUGCUGUGCUGAAAGGUGCCAUCAUUUUAUCAGCCAAGAGAGUGGGAGUCACGUGUCAGAGAACGUGAAGCUGCCUCCACCCUGUCCAGACACCAGGACAGGGGCUUGGAAUUUAAGAGGAAUGGUGUAUCUCAGUGCGAGCUGAGAGAUGUGCAAGUGUGGAAACUGGUCUGAAUUCUGACUGUAAAACUUUUAACACGAUUAUCACCUAAUACCAUCAAUUUUUUUGCUACGAUGCAGCUGGGAAGCUUGCUAUCAACACUUCAGGCAGGAAAAGAUUUAAAGGAUAAAACCAACUGCCUAUCAGAGGAUCAAAUGUAUGAAAAAGAUCCUCAGAAGUGCAUCUUAAUUAAACCUUACUUACAAAAAAGAAAUUCAAAUUCUAAAUAGAAUAAAGCAUAUGUCCUGCCAUUAGGGUGUUUGAAACUGUGCCCAGGACAGACCGGCUGCAGUUUAGUCUUAAGACUGAGUCUGCAACUGUUUGUGUAAAUUGUGUAAACUGUUAAUUUUAUAGCUUGUUAUGAACACGUAUUUUACAUUUUAAGCAGCCAAAGUAAUACUGAGACAGUACUUGCCCAGAAUAACAUCUGGCAAACAUCUGACAAAAUUGAUGCCAAAUACUACUUUAAUUUUGUGACGAAUUUUAUUAGAAACUUAUUAUUUUAAGAAAAGAAAACAAAUUUUUGAUGUUUUAUUAUCAAGCCAUUCAGAAGAAAAUUUGGGAACAGUGCUUUCGUGGUUCUGCAUUAGGAGGAGAAAUUGCUUUAACUCUAUAUGCAACUUACACAGACAAACAGCCAGGCAACCAAAGAAACAAAACCCAACCCAGACAACUCUGCUAGCUUACUGGUACUUCCAUAAGGCAGUAAGUGUGGAAAGCCAACAGUAUUUUUCAUUUCCAGCAAGAGUUUUCUCAGCAAUUGAGUUUGUCUGUACUGACAAUUUCACAUUGGAGGCUUACAUUCAGAUAAUAAGUUAUUGCUCAUUCAUGGACUAAAAGAGCUAAGAAAAGGGAAGUCUGUUCCCUAAAACUGACGGGCUGAAGAGUAUGCCUGUAGGGAAAGACUGAAAGACUACACCUUUUUUUUAGCAUCAGCCCCACGUCCUUUUUUUUUUUUCUUCUUCUUCUUUGUCUUUUACUUCUUUUUUGAAAAGAUGAUUUUUUUUUUUCCCAAAUAUCACACUCAAUUCUUAUUUUCCUUGGAGAAAAAGAAGUGUGAAAACUCAACAACUGCAAACCAGCAGUGAAGAUGGAGAGGAUGAGGACUGUUUUGAACACUUCAUCUCUGGCUUUAUUCUUUGUCAUCACCUAUGCUGAUGUUCAAUGAGAGCCUGACAACUUCGAGAAAUUAAAAACAAAGUACAGAUUUCAAUAAUUUUAGUAAAAAUCCUUUUAAUGCUCAGAACUUUGCUUUUUGGUGAGGCAAACUCUUUCUGAGGACUGUCUGGUUUGUAACCCCAGGCAAUGCACCCAGCUCAGCUACAGCUUUAUUCUUCUGGCUGGUGGGUUGAUAUUGUCUUGGACAGAUUCUGUUUUAUUAUGGUGUGCUGUUUGAGACAGACUUACUUCUCUGUAGUUGGGAUUUACAGUUUAAUCCCAGAAAAAUGUUACUAUCGGUGGUAACAAAGGAUAUGGUUUCUGCAGAGAAAUAUCUGCUUUAAGAGUGAAUCUGUUUAAAGACAAACAGAACAUUAUUUAUGGUAGCUUGUAUUUCCUUUUAAAUAUAAGUGCUGAAUGUAGUUCUUAUCACUCUGGAUCACAAAGGUAAGAUAAAUCUCUCUAAAGCAUGAAAAAAUAUAUAUGGAUUUUGGCACAGUCAGAUUCCUAAGAAGGAGCUGGUAUUUAAGAAUCGCUGUGUUUUUGUUUUAUAAAAAUCCUGUAUUAUUGAAGUUUACUGCUUUGACACAUUUUCCCUCAUGCUAGCUGAGCUUCAUUAGUGCUAACAUCAUUAAAGGCUUGUGGUAUUUAGAGUUGUUUUUCCCAAGAUGAGGAUUUGGAAGGUCCUUACUGGCUCAUCCAUUAACAUGUGUCAACAGCCUCCCACGAAUGAGGUGCUCUUCAGCAGAUGUAAAGCUGCUCAGGUCAAAGCCCAGCCUCAACUUUAUCCCAUGUAACUAAUUCUGAAUCUGGAACACAGGUUCCACCUGAAUCCUGAAUUCAGGAUCCAUCCAAAGCUGAAACACAGGAUCAAUCUGAAGCUCAAACAGACUGGAGAAGAGUGUCCUUGCAGAGAGGCUGCUGAAGUGUCCAUGCCUGCCCACGGAGUCUGGUCUUCCAACAUCUCUAUCCCAUUCUUAGCAUGGUUCUCAUAAGGUUCAACCUGAGACAGAUCAACUCGGAGACAUGGCAGAAAAUUACUCUUUCUGAAUUGGUUUGUUUAGGAAUGCUUUUCUGCCACCUUGGCAAGCAGCACUGGCUGUGGAUGAAUCUGAGGUGUGCCAAAGCAAGUGCAGGAAGGGUGCGGGGGAAAGACAGAACAAGUUGCUGGAUCAGCUCAAGCUGUGACAUGUACCUUUGCCCUUACAUCUGCUUUGAGGAUGACAUAAUAUUAAUGGUGCUGACAAAGGAGCUUGAGCAGAUCUUGGUGUUGUAGGUGAGGGAGACAUCACAACACACCGAGCUGGCAUGCCUUCUGCCAGAAGUCACUGGUGGCAGAACACAAGUGUGGGGGUGAUGCUUUAGCUACUGCAGGGCAGAACAAAGCCCUGUGUGGUGAGGUAUGAAAAACUCAUUUUUCAGUUUCUAACUGAUAUUAAGAAUACUAUUCCCCUUUCUCCCUCUGAGGCUUUGGCAAUCCAGCUCUUGGUACUGAAGCAGUUUGGCCUCCAGAGAUGAAGAAUCUGAAAACAAGAGCAUCUUUAAAACUCUCUGCUCUAAAGAAAUAUGCAUCUAUAAACUGCUGGCAAUAAAUACAUCACUGUGUAACAA